GGCAGCUAGCUGUGGUUCCGGUUCCGUCGCGGAGACACGUGAAGGUCGGUGCGGAGUUCGUCUCUGCAAGCUUGGUCGCCCUGGGAUGGAUUCCUCCUCCUCUUCCUCCGCGGCGGGUUUGGGUGCAGUGGACCCGCAGUUGCAGCAUUUCAUCGAGGUAGAGACUCAAAAGCAGCGCUUCCAGCAGCUGGUGCACCAGAUGACUGAACUUUGUUGGGUUCCUGUGGCCUAGCCGGAUGGGAGAAGGGUGACUCCGCUUCUCUGGGGACUGUCAUUCCGGACCUCGGCUUUGUUGGUGUAGAGGACUGGGUAUCAAAGAAGACUUAUGCCACUGGACACCCAGCACUUUCAGGCACCCGAGGUUGAAGCUGCCUAGUGCUGGUCACCAAGACUGAUCGGAGCCCCCAGUACUGGGAUUUUAUUUUUGGCAGCCCGAGUCCCAGAGAGUCAGUGAAUCAGUGAAUCUGCUAUUCCUGGACUCCUCGGGAUUUACCUUCAUUACCCAGUUCUAACCCUCUCCGCUGAAAAAUGAGUGGCUCCAGCCCAGUAACUAUAAAAGUGGUGUAAUCUCUUCCAACGUACAUACUUAUUUGCUUUCUUGUUGGAUUGUUGUGUAAUACCAAGCCGUUUUGGGUCUGAAGGUUGAGGAAUUGAGCCUGCCCUGUGAGGGGACUUUGGCAAAAGGGUGGAAGGUAUUUGCAGCUUGCCAACAACGUGUUCUGCUUGCCAAGGACAGAUCUCCCUUAAUGUACACAAUUCACAGAAUUCAGAGGCCAAGGAUAAUUUUCCUUGGAAUUAGAGGGUCUGAGGCUUGUGUACAUGGCAGAGAAUAAUGAACGAAAUUUUUGAACCACUUAACUUGAACUAUAUACAGUCAUUGGUUUCCAUAGGCCCUUUCCCAUAAACUUACAGUAUUGCUGGACUAUGACACCUACCAGAUGCUUACUUAACUCUGGUCUGCCUUGGACCAGAGUGCUUUGAUUCUUUUUUAAAAAUAUCUGUGAUUCGUUACUUUGGGGCUAGGAGGGCGUGUGGUUAAGUACUAUUGCAAGAAUCUGUAAGCUGCCCGGCGCGGUGGCUCAUGCCUGUAAUCCCAGCACUUUGGGAGGCGGGUGGAUCACUUGAGGUCAGGAGUUCGAGACCAGUCUGGGCAACACGGCGAAGCCCUGUCUCUACUAAAAA
rnacentral:lncRNA from 1 species